rnacentral:rRNA from 1 species
UACGUAGGGUGCAAGCGUUGUCCGGAAUUAUUGGGCGUAAAGAGCUCGUAGGCGGUCUGUCGCGUCGGCUGUGAAAUCCCGAGGCUCAACCUCGGGCCUGCAGUCGAUACGGGCAAACUAGAGUACUGCAGGGGAGACUGGAAUUCCUGGUGUAGCGGUGAAAUGCGCAGAUAUCAGGAGGAACACCGGUGGCGAAGGCGGGUCUCUGGGCAGUAACUGACGCUGAGGAGCGAAAGCGUGGGGAGCGAACAGG